rnacentral:rRNA from 1 species
UACGUAGGGUGCGAGCGUUGUCCGGAAUUAUUGGGCGUAAAGAGCUUGUAGGCGGUUUGUCGCGUCUGCCGUGAAAAUUCGAGGCUCAACCUCGAACUUGCGGUGGGUACGGGCAGACUAGAGUGUGGUAGGGGAGACUGGAAUUCCUGGUGUAGCGGUGAAAUGCGCAGAUAUCAGGAGGAACACCGAUGGCGAAGGCAGGUCUCUGGGCCACUACUGACGCUGAGAAGCGAAAGCCAGGGGAGCAAACGGG